rnacentral:rRNA from 1 species
GACGUAGGGCGCGAGCGUUGUCCGGAUUUAUUGGGCGUAAAGAGCUCGUAGGCGGUCUGUCACGUCGGCUGUGAAAUCCCGAGGCUCAACCUCGGGUCUGCAGUCGAUACGGGCAAACUAGAGUAUUGCAGGGGAGACUGGAAUUCCUGGUGUAGCGGUGAAAUGCGCAGAUAUCAGGAGGAACACCGGUGGCGAAGGCGGGUCUCUGGGCAAUAACUGACGCUGAGGAGCGAAAGCGUGGGGAGCGAACAGG